AGUGAACGCUGGCGGUAGGCCUAACACAUGCAAGUCGAACGGCAGCACAGUAAGAGCUUGCUCUUACGGGUGGCGAGUGGCGGACGGGUGAGGAAUACAUCGGAAUCUACUUUUUCGUGGGGGAUAACGUAGGGAAACUUACGCUCAUACAGCAUACGACCUACGGGUGAAAGCAGGGGAUCUUCGGACCUUGCGCGAUUGAAUGAGCCGAUGUCGGAUUAGCUAGUUGGCGGGGUAAAGGCCCACCAAGGCGACGAUCCGUAGCUGGUGUGAGAGGAUGAUCAGCCACACUGGAACUGAGACACGGUCCAGACUCCUACGAGAGGCAGCAGUGGGGAAUAUUAGACAAUGGGCGCAAGCCUGGUACAGCCAGACCGCGUGGGUGAAGAAGGCCUUCGGGGUGUAAAGCCCUUUUGUUGGGAAAGAAAAGCAGCAGGUUAAGACCCCGCUGUUCUGACGGUACCCAAAGAAUAAGCACCGGCUAACUUCGUG
rnacentral:rRNA from 1 species